CAUAGGAAACGUUUGGAUAAAAAAAUGGAUAGACUCUGGAAGAGCUUGCUGCACUGUCCUUGUAGGCAAAGAAAAACUGUUCCAUCAGUGCCUGUUCCUCCUCUCUUUGUAAUUCAGGUAUGGUGAGUAAGUCUGAGAGUAUCACCAGUAACCUUUCUGUUGGAUUAGUUGCAACAAAUGGCAGAGAUGAACACAUUUGCUUUAAUUCUGUGUUCACGUAAAACAGACGCUGGUGGAUUCCCUUCAGAUAUUUGAAGGGAAGCUGGUUUGAUUUUUAAAUUCAUAUUGCAGCCUGUCUGCAGAGCACUCAAUUAUCACAAUUAAAGAGAAAUCAGCUGAGUAGUAGCAAAGUGGAAUGUUUUCAUUACUAUUUUUAUGAAUUAAUGAAAAAAUCAGUCAUUAAGAUAGCUAAGAGUAAUAUUUUUAAAUUUACUUCUCAGUCUUUGUCAUCCAAUUAACUUAAAUUCAUUUUAAUUUCUUUAAUUGAUUAAUUAUUUAAAUUGAUUUUAAUGGAAAAAUUGUCUCAUUCCUGUAGUUUUUUAUUUUGAAAAUUGAUAUUUGAGUUACACUUUUUGUUGUUGAUUUUCAUUAUUAUUUUAUUGCACAGAUAGCAGAUGUACUGACCAAGUAUACCUUGAAACUGGAAGAAAUUUCUUUCUUCUUGGCAGCUGAUGUUCACAAGCUCAUUAACAAUAAGGCCAUGCACCUUGUUGCCUCCAAAACAUACACAAUCUGACAUAAUAAAUGAAUGGUACAGAACUCUGGAGAAUUUAAACAGGAGUAUUGACACACCUAAUGUGGAGUGCAUGGAGAAAAUGCGCAUCCAGUAUGAGCUGGUCCAGGACAAAUGUCAGGAAAAAGUGCAGGUCUGCAAGGUGAGUGUCAGCUUUGG
rnacentral:lncRNA from 1 species